UUUCCGUAGGUGAACCUGCGGAAGGAUCAUUAUUGUAUAACCGAGGUGCGAGGGCUGUCGCUGACCCGAAAGGUCGUGCACGCCCGAGUGCCCUCACCCACAUCCAUCUCACCCCUAUGUGCACCACCGCGGGGGUCCCCCUUUGGCUUGUUCGGAGGGGGGCUUACGUUUUCACACAAACUUUGUAUGCAGUGUAGAAUGUAUUUUUUGUUUUUGCGAUCACGCAAUAAAUACAACUUUCAACAACGGAUCUCUUGGCUCUC
rnacentral:misc_RNA from 1 species